GACGAAGGGGGCUAGCGUUGUUCGGAAUUACUGGGCGUAAAGCGCGUGUAGGCGGUUGUCCAAGUCGGGUGUGAAAGCCUUGAGCUCAACUCAAGAAAUGCACUCGAUACUGGGUGACUUGAGGACCGGAGAGGAUAGUGGAAUUCCCAGUGUAGUGGUGAAAUACGUAGAGAUUGGGAAGAGCACCAGUGGCGAAGGCGGCUAUCUGGACGGUUUCUGACGCUAAGACGCGAAAGCGUGGGGAGCAAACAGG
rnacentral:rRNA from 1 species